CAAUAGCGUAUAUUAAAGUUGUUGCGGUAAAAAAGCUCGUAGUUGGAUUUCUGUUGAGAGCGACCGGUCCAUACCAUGUAUGCGUAUCUGGCUUGCUCUCGGCAUCCUCUCGAUAGACGUUACUGCGCUUGAUUGCGUGGUGCGGAUCUCGGGACUUUUACUUUGAGGAAAUUAGAGUGUUCACGGCAGGCUUUCGCCAGAAUACAUUAGCAUGGAAUAAUACUAUAGGAUCUUGGUUCUAUUUUGUUGGUUUCUAGAAUUGAGAUAAUGAUUAAUAGGGACAAUUGGGGGCAUUCGUAUCAACACGUCAGAGGUGGAAUUCUUGGAUUGUGUUGCGACGAACUACUGCGAAAGCAUUUGCCAAGGAUGUUUGCAUUGA
rnacentral:rRNA from 1 species